rnacentral:rRNA from 1 species
UACGUAGGGUGCAAGCGUUGUCCGGAUUUAUUGGGCGUAAAGAGCUCGUAGGCGGUCUGUCGCGUCGGAUGUGAAAACCCAGGGCUCAACCCUGGGCCUGCAUUCGAUACGGGCAGACUAGAGUAUGGCAGGGGAGACUGGAAUUCCUGGUGUAGCGGUGAAAUGCGCAGAUAUCAGGAGGAACACCGGUGGCGAAGGCGGGUCUCUGGGCCAAGACUGACGCUGAGGAGCGAAAGCGUGGGGAGCGAACAGG